AAUAGAUACCCGGGUAGUCCACGCCGUAAACGAUGAGUGCUAAGUGUUAGAGGGUUUCCGCCCUUUAGUGCUGCAGCUAACGCAUUAAGCACUCCGCCUGGGGAGUACGGCCGCAAGGCUGAAACUCAAAGGAAUUGACGGGGGCCCGCACAAGCGGUGGAGCAUGUGGUUUAAUUCGAAGCAACGCGAAGAACCUUACCAGGUCUUGACAUCCUCUGCCAACCCUAGAGAUAGGGCGUUCCCCUUCGGGGGACAGAGUGACAGGUGGUGCAUGGUUGUCGUCAGCUCGUGUCGUGAGAUGUUGGGUUAAGUCCCGCAACGAGCGCAACCCUUGAUCUUAGUUGCCAGCAUUCAGUUGGGCACUCUAAGGUGACUGCCGGUGACAAACCGGAGGAAGGUGGGGAUGGACGUCAAAUCAUCAUGCCCCUUAUGACCUGGGCUACACACGUGCUACAAUGGAUGGUACAAAGAGCAGCGAACCCGCGAGGGUAAGCCAAUCUCAUAAAGCCAUUCUCAGUUCGGAUUGUAGG
rnacentral:rRNA from 1 species